UACGUAGGGUGCGAGCGUUGUCCGGAAUUAUUGGGCGUAAAGAGCUUGUAGGUGGUUUGUCGCGUCUGCUGUGAAAAUCCGAGGCUCAACCUCGGACUUGCAGUGGGUACGGGCAGACUAGAGUGCGGUAGGGGUGACUGGAAUUCCUGGUGUAGCGGUGGAAUGCGUAGAGAUCCGGAAGAACACCGAUGGCGAAGGCAGAUCUCUGGGCCGUAACUGACGCUGAGGAGCGAAAGCAUGGGGAGCGAACGAGG
rnacentral:rRNA from 1 species